UGCACUGUGGGCUGGACUCAACUUCUUUCAACUCUCUCUAAGUAUCCAAAAUUUAGCCCAGUACAAAAUAUGACACGAGUCCCACAUUGCUAAGAUAACAAUAGUUACACUUGUUUAUAUAUCGUUACCUCAGACACUUAGCUUGUCCCUUCGGGGACAUCCGAUAAAAUUGGAACGAUACAGAGAAGAUUAGCAUGGCCCCUGCGCAAGGAUGACACGCACAAAUCGAGAAAUGGUCCAAAUUUUUUUUCUCAUUUCUCACCCAAACGCUCCUGCAAAUUCUCUCUGACUUGAUUAACUUUCUUUGUCCAGUGAUUAUGGUUCUGAGAUUCUGUUGAUUUAACUUUUGGUUUAUCAUUGUUCGAUCCAGAUUUUUUUUCUCUUUUAAGGCAGUAAUUUAGCGAAAAAAUUACUCAAGCUCUUCGGCGGUGACAUUAUUAUCUUCAUUGAGGAUUGAGUAGGAACUGAGAAACCUAAAGAACUGGUUGAAGGAGAUGAAAAUUGAAGAUGGUGAGGUCCAGGAGGGUAUGCUGGUCGAAGAAGAUGUUCACACAGAGCCUGCACGCAAGGUUGACGAUUCACCGUAUGAAUUGCUUCAAGAGAGCAAGGCUUCGGUUGAGGACAUAAUUACCAAAAUGCUUUCUAUUAAGAAAGAGGGAAAACCCAAAACUGAGCUCAGAGAACUAGUCACUCAGAUGUUCAUACACUUUGUCACACUUCGCCAGGCAAAUCGUUCUAUCUUGCUUCAAGAGGAUCGCGUGAAAGUGGAGACAGAAAAUGCGAAGGGCCCAGUGGAUUUCGCAACCCUGCAGCUUCACAGUCUAAUGUACGAGAAGGGUUACUAUAUUAAAGCCAUAAAAGCUUGCAAAGACUUCAAAUCAAAAUACCCUGAUAUUGAGCUUGUGCCUGAGGAAGAGUUUCUUCGUGAUGCACCAAAAGAGAUUCCAAAUUCUGUACUGAGAAAUGAUCCUGCACACAAUCUCUUGUUGAAGAGGCUCGAUUUAGAACUUUUGCAGCGCAAAGAGCUAUGCAAACUUCGUGAAAAACUUGAACAGCAGAAGAAAAGUCUUUCAGAGACCAUUGUGAAUCGUAAAAAGUUCUUGUCUAGUCUUCCAUCACACCUCAAAUCUCUGAAGAAAGCAUCAAUGCCAGUACAAAACCUAUUAGGGGUGCUGCAUACAAAGAAGCUGAAGCAGCAGCAAUCGGUAGAUUUGCUUCCACCUCCUCUCUACGUGCUUUACUCACAGUUGCUGGCCCAGAAAGAAGCAUUCGGUGAACAAGUUGAUUUAGAGAUACUUGGAAGCCUGAAGGAUGCACAGACUUUAGCUCACCAACAAGCUAAUGUUGACACUGGAAUUUGCACUAAUCUGGAGAAUUCUGGAAUGGAGGAUGAUGCAGCUGAUGAGAAAGAAGAUGGCCAGAGAAGGAGAAAACGAACAAGGAGAAUUUCAGCCAAGGACAACCUUGAACAGAUAGAACAUCAAGUUCACCCCCUAAAAGUGGUGCUUCAUGUAUAUGAUGAUGACGAUGAGGUUUCUGCUCCUAAGUCUACAAAACUUGUCACCAUUGAAUUUGAGUAUUUGUUGAAGUUGAACGUCGUAUGUGCUGGAAUAGAAGGAUCCCAUGAAGGGCCUGAGAAUAACAUAUUGUGCAACUUAUUCCCUGAUGACACUGGCCUUGAGCUUCCCCACCAAUCAGCCAAACUUCUUGUUGGUGAUUCUCUUGUAUUUGAUGAAAAGAGAAAUUCUCGUCCAUACAAAUGGGCGCAGCAUUUAGCAGGAAUUGACUUAUUGCCUGAGCUAUCACCUUUGCUUACUCAACAUGGAUUUCCAAGCAGUGAUGUUGCUAAAGGUGAUGCAGUUAAAUCUGACCUUUCCACAUCCGGCCAUCAGAAUCGUGUGGCUGCAGUAAUUCAAAGAAUCCGCUCUCGGAUAAAUGGUCUUGAUCCACUUAUGCAGCUUAUAUAAGAAUGGACAAGGAAUGAGAUGGAUUAAUUAUAACUGAGAUUUUGCUCUAGGGAGAGUUGAGCAGGUUCUUAUCAUAUCUUGUUUGUUUCCCCAUAUGCUUCCUUCCUCAAAUCAUAUUCUCUUCCGAGGUGACACAAUCUUGAUUAAGGUUGGUUUAUUCCUCUCUUAUUUUCUGUCGAUGUUUUUGAAUUUUGUUUUAGCUAGAAUUACUGUUAUGCCUCCUGAACUUUUAAGCUCGUUAAAAAUGCUCCAUAAAUUAUUGAGAUUGUUGGAUUUAAGGAUUUUUGUUUAAUUUUAAUAAAAAAAAAAAAAUCUAACAUGGAUGAAAGUUUAGGAGGCAUGAUUUAGUACAUAUCAAAAUUCAAGGGACAUGAUUUGGCAGAUACCAAAGUCUGGGGAGCAUGGUUUAGUACAUAAACUUAAUAAUCCAACAUACAUAAUAAUUUUUAGUUUAAUUAAACCUAAUUCUCAUGAUCUCAUAAUGAAACCAAUAAAAAUAAAAUUUAUUCAAUAUGCAUUGAUAAUUUUAUAAGCGUUUAGGAAGAUGAGAAUUAAUAUUUUAGAUCUAAGGUUUUUUUAAUCUCAUGUGUUACAUGUAUAUUAAAUCAAUUAAUAUAUAUUUUUAAAAUUAUAAAUAUAUUUUAAAAAUAUAUAAAUAUAAUUGGAUGAUAAUUGGAUCGAUUUGGUCGGUUAUCCAUCGGAUCGGAUGUCCUAUCCAACAACCGAUCUGAUUCGAUCUAAUUAUAAUUGGAUAUCCGAUUCUAUUGAAUCGAUUGGGACUGGAUCGGUCGGUUGUAAUUAGAAUGGAUGAUUUUCUGCACACUCCUAAUUAACUGUCUUGGUUAGUUACAAGCUAUACCUUUCUGUUUUUAGUUCGAAUGGUAUAAAUAGAUAGAGUUCAAUUCAUUUCAAAUACAACCUUGUACAGAUUUAAUUCUCUCUUUCUCUCUCAAUGUAAUGAAUUCCAUUCACCAAUAAAAUCAAACAUUGUUCAAUCUCUUUGUCUAGCUGGUUUUUGCUGUUGCAUUUCUUCUUGUUGAUGUUGUCCAUGUGCAGCUCAUCUUUGAGCAUUCAAACUUGAUUGUUAAAGGUGAUAAUCGAUCACAACAAGUGGUGUUAGAGCAAGGGAUUAACUCAAUCAAGAUUUAGAUUUGAAGACAUCAAGAAGAUGGCUGCAACAAGAUUUGAGAUUAACAAGUUCAAUGGAACAAAUGAUUUUGGAUUAUGAAGGGUCAAGAUGAAGGCAUUGCUUGUCCACAAUGGAAUUUCAUAAACAAUUAAUGAAGAGAGUCUUAAGGAGAUUGAAGAUGAGAAGAAGAAGAAGGAGAUUGAAACUAAAGCACAUAGUGCUCUUCUUCUCAGUUUAGGUAAUGAAGUCCUAAGAAAAGUGUACCCGCUUUUCAUUAAGAUACAAUGCUCUUUUAAGUGCUCAAUAUUUAUAGAAGGAAAACCUCAACUACCAACCAUAUGUAAUAAAAAAAUCAUUUGAGACUAGCUCAAGUGGCCAUAGGUGGGUGUGUGUUGGAGGUCCUGGAUUCGAGUCCCAAAUAAAACAUGAUUAUAAUAUAUAAACACUUAAAUAAAAUAAAAAACUAUAUGUAAUAAAUGAGGUAGUUCAUUUUCCAACCAAAUAUAAUAAAA